rnacentral:rRNA from 1 species
ACUCCUACGGGAGGCAGCAGUGGGAAUAUUGCACAAUGGGCGCAAGCCUGAUGCAGCCAUGCCGCGUGUGUGAAGAAGGCCUUCGGGUUGUAAUGAAGCUUUACAGUCGUGAGGAAGGUAGUGUAGUUAAUAGCUGCAUUAUUUGACGUUAGCGACAGAAGAAGCACCGGCUAACUCCGUGCCAGCAGCCGCGGUAAUACGGAGGGUGCGAGCGUUAAUCGGAAUUACUGGGCGUAAAGCGCAUGCAGGUGGCUUGUUAAGUCAGAUGUG